AUCCAGUUGAUGAGUUUCAAAUAGGACGAAACGUGCGUCCUUGAU
rnacentral:hammerhead_ribozyme from 1 species